rnacentral:rRNA from 1 species
AGGAUUAACGCUGGCGGCGUGCCUAACACAUGCAAGUCGAACGAGGGGGGCAACCCCCGAGUGGCAGACGGGUGAGUAACGCGUGGUCAACCUACCCUAGAGUGGGGAAUAACUAGCCGAAAGGUUAGCUAAUACCGCAUGAUACGUUUUGGGACAUCCCAGGACGUUGAAAGGAGCAAUCCGCUCGAGGACGGGACCGCGUCCGAUUAGCUAGUUGGUGAGGUAACGGCCCACCAAGGCUCCGAUCGGUAGCUGGUUUGAGAGAGCGACCAGCCACACUGGGACUGAGAAACGGCCCAGACUCCUACGGGAGGCAGCAGUGAGGAAUUUUCCGCAAUGGGCGAAAGCCUGACGGAGCGACGCCGCGUGUGGGAAGAAGGCCUUCGGGUCGUAAACCGCUGUCGAAGGGGACUAUACUGAAGGUACCCUUGGAGGAAGCCCCGGCUAACUACGCGCCAGCAGCCGC